UACGUAGGGUGCAAGCGUUGUCCGGAAUUAUUGGGCGUAAAGAGCUCGUAGGCGGUUUGUUGCGUCGGCUGUGAAAUCCCGAGGCUCAACCUCGGGUCUGCAGUCGAUACGAGCAAACUAGAGUGUUGCAGGGGAGACUGGAAAUCCUGGCGUAGCGGUGAAAUGCGCAGAUAUCAGGAGGAACACCGGUGGCGAAGGCGGGUCUCUGGGCAACAACUGACGCUGAGGAGCGAAAGCGUGGGGAGCGAACAGG
rnacentral:rRNA from 1 species